rnacentral:rRNA from 1 species
CCCAAUGUGGAAUUCGCCCUUAGAGUUUGUCCUGGCUCAGAACGAACGCUGGCGGCGUGGAUUAGGCAUGCAAGUCGAGCGAGUAAUGGACUGAUACUGAAGGCCGUAAGGCCCGAAGUAACGGACCAUAGACGAGCGGCAAACGGGUGAGCAAUACGUGGAUAAUCUGCCUUCCAAUUGGGGACAACUUGCCGAAAGGCGAGCUAAUACCGAAUGAGACUACAUCUUCGCAUGAGGAAGUAGUUAAAGGCGGGGACCCGGAAUUAAUUCUUAAAAAAUUAGUUCUGGGCCUGCUAUAGGAAGAGGAGUCCGCGUCCUAUCAGCUUGUUGGUGAGGUAACGGCCCACCAAGGCAUUUGACGGGUAGCUGGUCUGAGAGGAUGGUCAGCCACACUGGGACUGAGACACUGCCCAGACUCCUACGGGAGGCUGCAGUCGAGAAUCUUUUGCAAUGGGCGAAAGCCUGACAAUGCGACCGCCGCGUGAGCGAUGAAGGUCUUCGGAUCGUAAAGCUCUGUUGCAGGGGAUGAAAUUCUACCUUUUUAAUAGAUGGUUGGUAUUGACAGUACCUUGAGAGGAAACCACGGCUAACUCCGUUGCCACCACCCCGGUAAUACGGAGGUGGCAAGCUUGUUCGGAUUGAUUGGGUGUAAAGGGCAUGUUAGGCGUCUUGAUAAGUCGAAUGUGAAAUCCCUUGAGCUCAACUAAAGGAAGUGCACUCGAAACUAUCAGGAUUGAGUUACGGAAGGGGAGAAUGGAAUUCCCGGUGUAAGAGUGAAAUCUGUAGAUAUCGGGAGGAACACCAGUAGCGAAGGCGAUUCUCUGGUCCGAUACUGACGCUGAAAUGCGAAAGCUAAGGGAGCAAACAGGAUUAGAUACCCUGGUAGUCUUAGCCGUAAACGAUGGGCACUAGGUGUAGGCUUGCAAGAGUCUGUGCCGCAGUUAACGCAUUAAGUGCCCCACCUGGGGAGUACGUCGGCAACGAUGAAACUCAAAGGAAUUGACGGGGGCCCGCACAAGCGGUGGAGCAUGUGGUUUAAUAGGAUGCUACGCCUGGAACCUUACCAGGACUUGACAUGUGGGUGGUAGUGAACCGAAAGGGGAACGACCUCGCAAGAGGAGCCUUCACAGGUGUUGCAUGGCUGUCGUCAGCUCGUGUCGUGAGAUGUUGGGUUAAGUCCCGCAACGAGCAAGGGCGAAUUCCACAGUG